GACGAACGCUGGCGGCGUGCUUAACACAUGCAAGUCGAACGGAAAGGCCCUGCUUUUGUGGGGUGCUCGAGUGGCGAACGGGUGAGUAACACGUGAGUAACCUGCCCUUGACUUUGGGAUAACUUCAGGAAACUGGGGCUAAUACCGGAUAGGAGCUCCUGCUGCAUGGUGGGGGUUGGAAAGUUUCGGCGGUUGGGGAUGGACUCGCGGCUUAUCAGCUUGUUGGUGGGGUAGUGGCUUACCAAGGCUUUGACGGGUAGCCGGCCUGAGAGGGUGACCGGCCACAUUGGGACUGAGAUACGGCCCAGACUCCUACGGGAGGCAGCAGUGGGGAAUAUUGCACAAUGGGCGGAAGCCUGAUGCAGCAACGCCGCGUGCGGGAUGACGGCCUUCGGGUUGAAAACCGCUUUCGCCUGUGACGAAGCGUGAGUGACGGUAAUGGGUAAUGAAGCACCGGCUAACUACGUG
rnacentral:rRNA from 1 species